rnacentral:lncRNA from 1 species
CCACCACCACCACCACCGCAACAACAACUGCAAGGAAGGGGAGCAGCCCCUGCCGCCGCCCUCUGGCCUCAACAGUUCCUGGGUGGAGCUACCCAUGAACAGCAGCAAUGGCAACGACAAUGGAAAUGGGAAGAAUGGGGGGCUGGAGCACGUUUCUUCCUCGUCUUCCAUCCACAAUGGAGACAUGGAGAAGAUCCUUCUGGAUACACAGCGUGAGUCGGGACAGAGCAGCUCAAGAGGCAGUUCUCACUGUGACAGCCCUUCACGACAAGAAGACAGGCAGAUGACGUUUGAUGUUGAGAUGCA